GCUGGUGCGUGGUGCGUAGGAAUCGCAACUUCUUCGCAGAUAGGUCCAUUAGCCCCUAAUGAAGACACACCAUGGUGAGAGUCUCGACAUUGUAGGACAGAAAGCGGAAGGAGAGGGUCCAAGAUCGAACAUGAAGAAACAGAGGUGAGGGAAGAUUACCUGUUCGCGUGGUAGAACCUCCUCGUUCAUCACCCCAAAGGUGCUGCUCACUGCCCCCAUGGCUGCGUAAAGCAGGUACCGAGCCUUGGUGAGCUCGUCACGCACUCAACACCCAUGCUCGAGAGCACUCCCCUACGACACCAUUUCCUAUACAUCGUCAAGGGCAAAUAGUGCCUUGCCCGGGCACCGGGGUUGCUCCUAGGUGAGCAUCGGGCCCCAGCCUAGCACCAGCACCGGCCCGGCCAAAGCCACUUGAAGUCAGAUGGUGUGGUCGAGCACGG
rnacentral:lncRNA from 1 species